rnacentral:rRNA from 1 species
AUUGAACGCUGGCGGCAUGCCUUACACAUGCAAGUCGAACGGUAACAGGUCUUCGGAUGCUGACGAGUGGCGAACGGGUGAGUAAUACAUCGGAACGUGCCCGAUCGUGGGGGACAACGAAGCGAAAGCUUUGCUAAUACCGCAUAAGAUCUACGGAUGAAAGCAGGGGACCGCAAGGCCUUGCGCGAACGGAGCGGCCGAUGGCAGAUUAGGUAGUUGGUGGGAUAAAAGCUUACCAAGCCGACGAUCUGUAGCUGGUCUGAGAGGACGACCAGCCACACUGGGACUGAGACACGGCCCAGGCUCCUACGGGAGGCAGCAGUGGGGAAUUUUGGACAAUGGGCGAAAGCCUGAUCCAGCCAUGCCGCGUGCAGGAUGAAGGCCUUCGGGUUGUAAACUGCUUUUGUACGGAACGAAAAGACUCUGGUUAAUACCUGGGGUCCAUGACGGUACCGUAAGAAUAAGCACCGGCUAACUACGUGCCAGCCGCCGCAGUAAGAC